GGUGGGGGAGAGGGGAGCGGGGCCGACACAGGGUUCCUGACCAAGCUGGUGCUUCUGCGUGUGUUCCUGCAUGACUUGGUGUGUCCCCUUCUCUUGGAUCUACUGCAGUUGACAGCAGAUAACUGAAAGCUCGGAAAGCGAAACCGUGGAUAAGCAGGGGAACUGUGGCAUCCCAUUUAAAAUUGCUUCUCCUAAGCCACCACAUAAAAAGUCAGACCAUCUGCUGGAAGAACCACAUGGAGAGGCCCUGAGUCAACAUGGAGAGGAAGAAGGACUUGACUGAAUCCAGCCUUCCAGCUGUCCCUACCAAGGUGCCAGGCAUGAGAAUGAAGCUGUCUUGAACUCUGAAGACCAGCUUAGCCACCAGGUAAAUGCCACUAAGUGACCUCACUCAAUGUCAUGUGGGACGGAAGAAUCACCCCGCCAAACCCUUCCUGGAUCCCUGACCCAGAAAUUUGUCAGAUGUAAUGGUUGUGAAAAGCCAUUCAAUUUGGGGGCAGUUUGUAUGCAGCAUAGCUAGCUGGUAUGAUACAACAGCCUGCAAUUCAGGCAGCAGCAGCACUAACAACGAUGAA
rnacentral:lncRNA from 10 species